AUUGAACGCUGGCGGCAUGCCUUACACAUGCAAGUCGAACGGUAACGGGCCUUCGGGUUCCGUCGAGUGGCGCACGGGCGUGUAAUACAUCGGAACGUGCCCGAUCGAGGUGGCUAUCGCGGCGCAAUCUUUUUUUAUACUCCAUACGAAUCACGUAUGACAGCAGGGGACUGCAAGUCCUUGCGCUCACGGAGCUGCCGUUGGCAGAUUAGGUAGUUUGUGGGUUACAAGCUUACCAAGACGACGAUCUGUAGCUGAUCUGAGAGGAUGAUUAGCCACACUGGGACUGAGACACGGCCCAGACUCCUACGGGAGGCAGCAGUGGGGAAUUUUGGAGAAUGGACGGAAGGCUGAUCCAGCCAUGCCGAGUGGAGGAUGAGGGCAUUAGGGUUGUAAACUGCAAUUGUACGGAACGAGGAGCCUUCUUGUAAUGCAGGAGGGUCAUGACGGUACCGUAAGAAUAAGCACCGGCUAACUACGUG
rnacentral:rRNA from 1 species